AUGGUGGCCAAGAACGAGAUGUGGGCAGCUAAAGACGCAGCAACGAGGGCACGGGCAGUAGACGAGUCGAAGAAGUACAAGAGGUCGCUUGUGGAGAUCGGUGUGAUGCUGUCGAUCAGCGCCAUCCACAUCCUCCUGAGCUUCCUCGUGCCGGGGAUUUCCUGGCAGCACCAGAUCAUGUGCUGGCAGAACGCGAUGAUCGCCUUCGCCUCCGCCGCGAUGUUCACCUGGACGCACCUGAAGAACUUUCGCUGGUCCGUCCACAAGACCGAGUUGCCUCUAGUUUAA
rnacentral:rRNA from 1 species